GACGAACGCUGGCGGCGUGCUUAACACAUGCAAGUCGAACGGAAAGGCCCUGCUUGCAGGGUACUCGAGUGGCGAACGGGUGAGUAACACGUGGGUGAUCUGCCCUGCACUUCGGGAUAAGCCUGGGAAACUGGGUCUAAUACCGGAUAGGAGCCAUUUUUAGUGUGAUGGUUGGAAAGUUUUUUCGGUGUAUGAUGAGCUCGCGGGCUAUCAGCUUGUUGGUGGGGUAAUGGCCUACCAAGGCGGCGACGGGUAGCCGGCCUGAGGGGGUGGACGGCCACAUUGGGACUGAGAUACGGCCCAGACUCCUACGGGAGGCAGCAGUGGGGAAUAUUGCACGAUGGGCGCAAGCCUGAUGCAGCGACGCCGCGUGGGGGAUGACGGCCUUCGGGUUGUAAACUCCUUUCGCUAGGGACGAAGCUUUUUGUGACGGUACCUAGAUAAGAAGCACCGGCUAACUACGUG
rnacentral:rRNA from 1 species